rnacentral:rRNA from 1 species
CCCGCUGAACUUAAGCAUAUCAAUAAGCGGAGGAAAAGAAACUAACAAGGAUUCCCCUAGUAACUGCGAGUGAAGCGGGAAAAGCUCAAAUUUAAAAUCUGGCCGUCUCUGAUGGUCCGAGUUGUAAUCUGGAGAAGCGUUUUCCGCGUCGGACCGUGUACAAGUCUUCUGGAAUGGAGCGUCAUAGAGGGUGAGAAUCCCGUCUUUGACACGGACUACCGAUGCUUUUGUGAUGCGCUCUCGAAGAGUCGAGUUGUUUGGGAAUGCAGCUCAAAAUGGGUGGUAAAUUCCAUCUAAAGCUAAAUAUUGGCGAGAGACCGAUAGCGAACAAGUACCGUGAGGGAAAGAUGAAAAGCACUUUGGAAAGAGAGUUAAACAGUACGUGAAAUUGUUGAAAGGGAAACGCUUGAAGUCAGUCGCGUUUGCCGAGACUCAGCCUGGCUUGCCUGGUGUACUUCUCGGUUGACGGGUCAGCAUCAGUUUUGACCGCCGGAUAAAGGUUGGAGGAAUGUGGCAUCCUUCGGGAUGUGUUAUAGCCUCUGAUUCGCAUACGGCGAUCGGGACUGAGGAACUCAGCACGCCUUUAUGGUCGGGGUUCGCCCACGUAACGUGCUUAGGAUGCUGGCAUAAUGGCUUUAAGCGACCCGUCUUGAAACACGG